rnacentral:rRNA from 1 species
GCGACCCCAGGUCAGGCGGGACUACCCGCGAAUU